rnacentral:rRNA from 1 species
GUAGGGAGCAAGCGUUAUCCGGAUUUAUUGGGUGUAAAGGGUGCGUAGACGGGCGAUCAAGUUAGUUGUGAAAUCCCUCGGCUUAACUGAGGAACUGCAACCAAAACUGUUAAUCUUGAGUGCUGGAGGGGAAAGUGGAAUUCCUAGUGUAGCGGUGAAAUAGCGUAGAUAUUAGGAAGAACACCGGUGGCGAAGGCGACUUUCUGGACAGUAACUGACAUUGAGGCACGAAAGUGUGGGGAGCAAACAGGAUUAGAUACCCUGGUAGUCCACACCGUAAACGAUGGAUACUAGGUGUAGGUGAUGAUAAGUCAUCUGUGCCGUCGCAAACGCAGUAAGUAUCCCACCUGGGGAGUACGGCCGCAAGGUUG